rnacentral:rRNA from 1 species
GUGGGGAAUAUUGGACAAUGGGGGCAACCCUGAUCCAGCCAUGCCGCGUGAGUGAAGAAGGCCUUCGGGUUGUAAAGCUCUUUUGGCGGGGACGAUGAUGACGGUACCCGCAGAAUAAGCCCCGGCUAACUUCGUGCCAGCAGCCGCGGUAAGACGAAGGGGGCUAGCGUUGUUCGGAAUUACUGGGCGUAAAGGGCGCGUAGGCGGUCUUGUCAGUCAGGCGUGAAAGCCCUGGGCUCAACCUGGGAGGUGCGCUUGAUACUGCAAGGCUUGAGUGCAGGAGAGGAUGGUGGAAUUCCCAGUGUAGAGGUGAAAUUCGUAGAUAUUGGGAAGAACACCGGUGGCGAAGGCGGCCAUCUGGACUGCAACUGACGCUGAGGCGCGAAAGCGUGGGGAGCAAACAGGAUUAGAAACCCUUGUAGUCC